UUGUGUAUGUUGGUUGAGAGUGCACGCUUAAUUUACAUGCAUGAAUUUGAUGCUAGAAUAUAAGUGAAUUUCACCUAAUCGUUAUGAAACUUAUAUUCACAAGUAGUAAAGGUUGCUAGUCACAAUCACGUUAAGUAAAAUUCUUGGCAUAAGUUUCAUGCAAAUCAUAGUAACGAGUGUCCCGUCAAUGCUUAUGUUUUUCAUAAAACUUAAUGAUUCUUGCUUGUAUCUCUAUUAUGCAACUCAUGUAGGGAACUUGUAAGGAAUGUUUUGGGUUGUCGUAUGCAAUCAUCCAACCCAAUAACUUGUGGAAAAACUGAGGGUUAAUUAGUGCAAUUCACGGUUAAUUUGGGGCGUUGAGUAUUCAUAGCUUAUCGAAAAGCAACUGGAAAUCAUUUUGUAUGCAAGUAUAAUAUGUGUGGAGAAGAACCAUCUAGCUAGUCCGUCAUUUAUCAUUUUACCUUAAUUUUAUGUUUUUGUCAAUUCUGUAAUUUAAUUAAGUUUAAUUUACAUUUCAUCAAAACCAAACACCCAUCCAUUAUUAAAUUAUAUUAUUUAGUUAGUUUUCUUUAUUGUUAGUCUUUUAAUUUAAUUUCCGUCCAUUUCAGUUCCUAGUGUUUAAUUUAAUUGUUUUCAUUAUUUUGAAUCAUUUUAAGUGUGUUUCGAGUUAUUAGAGUUUUUCGCCUAGUUUUGUGUCCUUGAGUCUUAUUUAAUAUUUUUAAAUUAAUUUAGAAUAGAUUAGCAAUCCCUCCUAAUCCCCGGCCUAGAACGAUACCCUACUUACAACUAUACUACAACUGUCAAAAAGAGGGUUUAAUUUGUGUGUCAAGUAAUUCUCGCACCAAAAUAAUAGAGAGUGAAUAGAAAGCUUCCCUGUUUGGGGUUUUUGGCCCGUGCCCCCAUUGUGGCUUGGGUGGAAACCAUGACUUCUCGAUACGGCUGUUUUGUACGAAUUCCCACAGACGGUGCCAACUGUUGGAGCGGAAAAUUUCAGGUACUCCAAUUCUCCACCAAUAAGUAAUUUUGAACCCGUUGAGAAGCCUUGGACAUCAUCUUCGCUUGUCAACAAUGAGAGCGGGGGGACCUGCAAGAAAACACUCUGACGCCCAAGUCAGUAUUUGUUUAGAAUGCUUAUAAAAUAUAGAACGAUCUCCUACCUCCCUUUUCUCUCCCCUUUUCUGGUGGGAUUAUUAGCCUUUUAUAGGCAUUUAAGUCUUGGGCUCCAAGUCCCACUUUCCUUCUAUUUCUCCAUGUUCCACAUUCCACAUUCCAUGAAGUAUCUGAUUGUGCUCCUUUAUUUUAGCCCCACUCCUCAUGUUUAGCAUGCUAGUGGCUUGUUUAGUGGAGGAGUAAUUUUUGGCUCCAAAGUGUGGAUGGGUGUUGUUCAUGACAACUUCUGGACCGACAGGCACAACUCUGAAUUUAGGACAAUCUUUGACAAUAUUCCAACAUUCCCACCGGUUGAAUGAUUUAUUUUUGUUUUUGGUUUUGGCACCAUACCAAGUUUGUGCUUGAAUUAGCUACACAAUGGGGGAGAAGAAAUAAUUAUAAUCAAAGUAGGUAACAAAUAAAUAAUACAAACAAAUAAUUAUAAUUAAAGUAGGUAACAAAUAAAUAAUACAAACAAAAAAUUAUAAUCAAUGUAUGUAACAAAUAAAUAAUACAAACAAAAAAUUAUAAUCAAAGUAUGUAACAAAUAAAAAAUACAAACAAAUAAUUAUAAUUAAAGUAGGUAACAAAUAAAUAAUACAAACAAAUAAUUACAAUGUAAAUUUGGGUAUAGUACAAACAAAUAAAUAAUAUAUUGUUACAUGAUCCGUGUAAUUUUCCCCACUUCGAAGAUUACUACUAGCUUGUGCCAAGGCGUCUCUCCAAAUACUAAAUGAUUGGCUAAGUAAUUUCCAACGACUAGACAUCAAUUCUUUGGUUCUACUUCCACCCAUUUUUUCAAGAUAACUGGUAUGAAUAAGACUCCACAUUUCUCACAACUGCAUCUCAUUACCCGUACGCGAACUAUGAGUAAUUUCAACCCAGCUAGUACACAAUGCAACAUCUUCAAGAAGCGUCCAAUUCGUAUCUGCAUCAGUAAUCAUUUUGUUGAAAAAAAUUGGAUUGAAACUUUGAGAGAAAGAUAGGAAUGUGAUUGAAAGUAGUUGAGAAAAUAUGAUAUUGUGGUGUAAGGUAGAUGAUAAUGAGAAGGUAUUUAUAGAAAAGUAUAAACAUUUUUGUUUUUAAAUUCAGAUAUUUUUUCUGAUUUUUUACAAUUUUUUUAAUUUUUUUAUUCAAAUAAUUAAUCUAUGCCGUUGGAUUUUAAAAAAAUUGAAUUCCAACACUUCAGAUUGUGCCACGUGUCACAACGGUAACUUUUCUUAAUUUUAAAACUAUUUUUUCUUUUAUUUAUUUAUUUAUUUAUUUAUAAAGCAUAUUAAUAUCAACCGUUUAUCUAACGGUUGAUAUUAAAUAAGAUUUUUUUUAUUUUUUUUACCGUUGAGAUCGAACGGUCCAAGUUAAAUAGCCGUUGAGAUCGAACGGACCG
rnacentral:lncRNA from 1 species